ensembl:ncRNA lncRNA:CR44264 long non-coding RNA:CR44264
AGGCAUUUCAAAGCAAUUACACAGCAUAAAUAAAGGCAUCAAACAAUCUGCAGGCCGUUGUACCUCGAAAGUGAAGUAAUUAUACAUCAAAAGCGAAUCAUGUCAUUGUCAAGUGUUUGAACAGAGCUGAACAAGAUCGGAUCAUACCUGAAAAGUGUGCACUUGAGUGUCUUUUGAUGGGGCCACCAUUAAUAUGCAGUGUCUUGAUCGCGAAUAUUAUUAUUUUAAUUUCGUUAUUUCGCAUUUGUCAUUAAUGGGCCUUUUGUUUCGUUUUCGUACAGCGUUUGUGCGAGAGAUAUUCGAGUUUAUAGACUCUUUGAGCUUGGCUCUGGUGUGAGAAGAUACUGCGUCAAGAUACAGAUACAGAUGGGAUCGGCGACAAAACAUGCUGGGAACUACGUGAUUGAUGGCGGCACUGCGAUUACCAGCCGAACAGCUGAACAGUACUGAACUCGACUUAGAAUACUCGGCCCAGGCGAAUAUAUUAUAAAUGCUGGGAUAUAUGCGAAAUCAGUGAAAUCUUGUCGCGUCUAAAAAGGAAAAUCACACAGCAAAUGCAAAAUUUAUGAGCGAACUACGUCGAACGACGUCUCCGGGCGAACGGAGCAGGAAUACCAAUUGGGCUGGGUUUUCGAUUGGGAUUCGUAUAGGGAUGGAGCGGAUGUGCACUGCACUCGAGGAUGAGUCAGCUGAGCCGGAGGUCCGUGUGGGUUCAGCCCUGUCAGACAGAUCAAACUAUAAAGACAGGGUCCAGGUUCGCCGAAUGUCUUUAAUUAGCCAGCACGGUUUCAGAGAUCUCAUCUAGUAAUCACUUUAUUUACCAGACACAACUUGGGGUCAGCAUGAUAAUCAUAUGCUAUCAUCACUUAAUUAACAACGGAAUUUUUUAUACAAGAU